rnacentral:rRNA from 1 species
GGACCGGUUUAUUGGUCGUGCUUUUGUACGUACUGGUAUUAUUGGUUUCUCCUUUCUGACGAAUCUUAAUGCCAUUAAUUUGGUGUUUUGGGAAAUCAGGACUGUUACUUUGAAAAAAUUAGAGUGUUUAAAGCAGGCUCACGCUUGAAUACAUUAGCAUGGAAUAACGGAAUAGGACGUUUGAUUCUAUUUUGUUGGUUUCUAGGAUCGACGUAAUGAUUAAUAGGGAUAGUUGGG